ACUUCACCGCAAUCCCUAGUCCAUUCCUCCCCUCCACCGCCGCCCCUCCCCUACUCUCCCAGUGGGCCGCCUUCACCAUCCCCUCUCCGGCGAGUCAACGGCGGCAGCAUCGCCUCCACCCUCCUCUCCUGAACCAUCGUCCACCCUCCCACUCCCACUCCCACUCCCGAGCACAGUGCCACCACCGCCUCCUCUUCCUUCUCCACCUCACUCUCAUGUCCCCAUUACUGCCACUGCCGCCACCCUAUCGAUCUCUUUCCUUCAUCCUUUGAUUUGUUCGGUGCAAGCUCAGGAUAGCCAGAUCCGGUUCUUUUGAGCUCGGGACGUCCAGAUCCGGCGCCCUUGAGCUCGGGGCCACUGGAUGCAGCUCCUAGCGCAACGGACAAGCAUGGUGGGAGUACAAGGGAGACCGUCCCGGCCAGAUCCAAUGCUGGCGGCGGCAGCAUGCUCGAGUCCUCGGGCCUGAGUGUGGGGUUCUGAACGCGUUCGCACGCCACGGCAGCUGCCAUGGCCGCCCUCCCUACCGGGCUCCAAGUCUCCAAGAGGAGAAUCCGUGCGCUACCGACGCGUUGGACCAGUGCGCUCCACGCUCGUCUUGGGCACGCCAUCCAGCUCCUUCGUGGCCACGAGAGUAUGCUAGCUAUAGCAUCAGUGUGCGCCAAUGUCCUAUAUUAUGUGAUUUGCAUUAAUUUGUAGCCACAUUUUCUGUUCCUUUGCAGCUGAGUUACUUUUAUCAAAUAUCCAUUCUCACGAGCUGUUUGUUGUAGCUUUCUGUAUAUCACCAUAGUACUUUGUAGUUAUUCAUCAGGAAUUCUGUGGCAUGUUUGAUUAGUUACAGAGGACGAGAUGGUCCUUUAUAACAGUUGGCGGCAUGGUGCUUUGGGAUUAUAAAGAUGCACUAUAUAACUUGUGUCAGAUACUCAAUUUUUCUUGAUGGUAAAAAGCUCAGAGUCUUGCUGCAUAACAUUCAGAGAUAUGCACAAUAAAAAUAGCUUUAGAAGGGAUAAUUUUUUUAUAUCAUGUAAUCAUGGCAAUCUUUUUUUUUCCUUUUGCUGACAUGCAUUAUGUUUUCUAUUUCAAUAUAGAAAAAAUAUAGGCAAGGAGUGGAAGAGACGAGGUGAGUCAAAUAUAACAGACAAACAAAACCUAGUUCUAUGAAAUGGUGCUUGGCAUGGACGUCCUAAUUUUGUGGCUUGGUUCUACCAGCAGGUAAUUUCACACUUCUUAAUUGCCCUCCUGCAUUAUGUUUGUUGAUCACUGCAUGCUUAAUGCAUAUGCUAUAUCUUGACAUGUAAAGUCGCAUGGACACGACUAUAUAUGUGUGCUAAUUUGAAGCAAGUAGCUAAAGGGUCACGUUUAUAGUACAUAUGACAUAAAUGGGUAACGUUUCUGAACAGAUAAACAUGAGAAGGAGAGGCGAAGUAAGACCAAUCUUAUUAGUUACACAAACUAAAUAGUGGCUUUAGUGACAAUAGAACAGGGAGAAAACAACGAUACAACUGAGUUCUACAGAUGUAUCAAAGAAAUAUUCAAACUUAGAUUUGAAGGAAGCAUAACUCUUUUACUUGUUCUAUUCAUUUUCUACUGAUUUGAUCCAAGACAGUUGAGGUACACCCCAAAUUUUGGUUCAGUAGAGGUAGAUGUCUUACAGAUGUGUGAACCAUUUCAUUGUAAAAUAUCAUGUCUUGUUUUCUGUAUAUAUGCAUAUACAAGUACAGGUUCAAUAUUGGAGAGUGAUGAGGUAGGCCAUCAUUGUUUAUGCCCCUGCUAUGCCAACUGCCACUAGGUUAAUCUUAAAUGUCCCCCCUGAAGUUGUAAACUUAUUUUUUUAGGAGUAUCAUGUAAUAAUAAUGGCAAAUGAAGAUUGCAUUCUUCUGCUAGUUAUAGGAUUUUUUAAACAAAAAGGUGCUUCCUAGUGUCCAAUGGAUUUGUGUUUCUAAAUCAGACCUCAUCAUUUCUGUAGAUAUUCUUUUAAUUUGCUAGCAGCUAGAGGGAGCUGAUUUGCACCAGUGCCAUCAGAUACUCUCCUGGAUUUCUCAGGGUCUCCUAGUCAGCUGGCUUAUUUGCUAAUCGUCAGAGGGGUUAUCACGACUUUUUGGUUGCCCAAGCAUGUAGGCAUAGUUAGUAAUGUUCAAUUUCAUCUCAAUUGUAGCUGUUUCUUAUAUUGGUAUCUUCGCUUGUUCCAUGUACUACAGUCAUCAAAUCGAUUAACUGAACAUGGAUAUCUAUGCAUUUCAAUCCAUUAUUUUGUGUCGA